ACUAGAGUAGCACUCGCAUAUCAAUAAGCGGAGGAAAAGAAACUAACAAGGAUUCCCCUAGUAACGGCGAGUGAAGCGGGAAGAGCUCAAAUUUGAAAUCUUAAAGGGUUUCCCUUUACGAAUUGUAGUUUAAAGAAGUGUUUUCUGUUGAGGUUUUGGUAAAAGUUCUUUGGAAUAGGACAUCAUAGAGGGUGAGAAUCCCGUAUUUGACCUUUACUUUCAACUUUGUGAUACACUUUCAAAGAGUCGGAUUGUUUGGGAAUGCAGUCCAAAAUGGGUGGUAAAUUUCAUCUAAAGCUAAAUAUUGGCGAGAGACCGAUAGCGAACAAGUACCGUGAGGGAAAGAUGAAAAGAACUUUGAAAAGAGAGUUAAACAGUACGUGAAAUUGUCAAAAGGGAAGCGUUUGACACCAGUGUUGUUUUUCUGAAAAUCAAUUAAAGAACUGUUUAUGCUAAGCUGUUUAGACUUUAUCAGCUAUCUGUUUAGUUUUAGGCUUUUCUUUAAUGCACUUUUCAGUUAACAAGUCAACAUCAAUUUCUUUUGCUGUAAAAAAGCUUGAGGAAGGUGGCUUGAGAUUCGUCUUAAGUGUUUAUAGCCUCUUGCCUAUGCAGUCGGAGAGAUUGAGGUCUGCAGCGUAGAUCCUUCGGGGCUAAAUGCAUUUGUGCUAAGUUAUAGCAUUUUAUAGACAACUUGUUGACUAUGAUUUGUCUUGUAGCUUACUCGCUUAUGUUAUUUUACCUACGCUUAGGAUGUUGAGCGCAUGUCUCUCUCU
rnacentral:rRNA from 1 species